rnacentral:rRNA from 1 species
UGGGGGAUAUUGCACAAUGGGCGAAAGCCUGAUGCAGCGACGCCGCGUGGGGGAUGAAGGCCUUCGGGUUGUAAACUUCUUUUGCUCUGAACAAGGCAUGCUAAUGGGUGUGUUGAGUGUAGGGGUUGAUUAGCGCCGGCUAACUACGUGCCAGCAGCCGCGGUAAUACGUAGGGCGCGAGCGUUGUCCGGAAUUAUUGGGCGUAAAGGGCUUGUAGGUGGCUGGUUGCGUCUGUCGUGAAAGCUCAUGGCUUAACUGUGGGUUUGCGGUGGGUACGGGCUGGCUUGAGUGCAGUAGGGGAGGCUGGAAUUCCUGGUGUAGCGGUGGAAUGCGCAGAUAUCAGGAGGAAUACCGGUGGCGAAGGCGGGUCUCUGGGCUGUUACUGACACUGAGGAGCGAAAGCAUGGGGAGUGAACAGG